rnacentral:rRNA from 1 species
AGCGAACGCUGGCGGCAGGCCUAACACAUGCGAGUCGAACGAACCUUUCGGGGUUAGUGGCGGACGGGUGAGUAACACGUGGGAACGUGCCUUUAGGUUCGGAAUAACUCAGGGAGACUUGUGCUAAUACCGAAUGUGCCCUUCGGGGGAAAGAUUUAUCGCCUUUAGAGCGGCCCGCGUCUGAUUAGCUAGUUGGUUGAGGUAAUGGCUCACCAAGGCGACGAUCAGUAGCUGGUCUGAGAGGAUGAUCAGCCACAUUGGGACUGAGACACGGCCCAAACUCCUACGGGAGGCAGCAGUGGGGAAUCUUGCGCAAUGGGCGAAAGCCUGACGCAGCCAUGCCGCGUGAAUGAUGAAGGUCUUAGGAUUGUAAAAUUCUUUCACCGGGGACGAUAAUGACGGUACCCGGAGAAGAAGCCCCGGCUAACUUCGUG